GACGAACGCUGGCGGCGUGCUUAACACAUGCAAGUCGAGCGGUAAGGCCCUUUCGGGGGUACACGAGCGGCGAACGGGUGAGUAACACGUGGGUGACCUGCCCUCAGCUCUGGGAUAAGCCUGGGAAACCGGGUCUAAUACUGGAUAUGACUCCAUGACGCAUGUUGGUGGGGUGGAAAGCCCUUGUGCGGCUGAGGAUGGGCCCGCGGCCUAUCAGCUUGUUGGUGGGGUGAGGCCUACCAAGGCGACGACGGGUAGCCGGCCUGAGAGGGCGACCGGCCACA
rnacentral:rRNA from 1 species